GACGAACGCUGGCGGCGUGCUUAACACAUGCAAGUCGAACGCUGAAGCUCAGCUUUUGUUGGGUGGAUGAGUGGCGAACGGGUGAGUAACACGUGAGUAACCUGCCUCCUUCUUUGGGAUAACGCCCGGAAACGGGUGCUAAUACUGGAUAUUCACUGGUCUUCGCAUGGGGGUUGGUGGAAAGGGUUUUUCUGGUGGGGGAUGGGCUCGCGGCCUAUCAGCUUGUUGGUGGGGUGAUGGCCUACCAAGGCUUUGACGGGUAGCCGGCCUGAGAGGGUGACCGGUCACAUUGGGACUGAGAUACGGCCCAGACUCCUACGGGAGGCAGCAGUGGGGAAUAUUGCACAAUGGGCGCAAGCCUGAUGCAGCGACGCCGCGUGAGGGAUGGAGGCCUUCGGGUUGUGAACCUCUUUCGCUCAUGGUCAAGCCGCAACAAUGGUUGUGGUGAGGGUAGUGGGUAAAGAAGCGCCGGCUAACUA
rnacentral:rRNA from 1 species